rnacentral:rRNA from 1 species
AUUGAACGCUAGCGGCAUGCUUAACACAUGCAAGUCGAACGAGUGGCGGACGGGUGAGUAAUAUAUGGGAAUCUGCCCAAUGGAGGGGGAUAACUACGGGAAACUGUAGCUAAUACCGCGUACCAUAGGAUGAGCCCAUAUGGGAUUAGGUAGUUGGUGGGGUAAAGGCUCACCAAGCCGACGAUCCGUAGCUGGUCUGCGAGGAUGACCAGCCACACUGGGACUGAGACACGGCCCAGACUCCUACGGGAGGCAGCAGUGGGGAAUAUUGGGCAAUGGGGGCAACCCUGACGCAGCCAUGCCGCGUGAAUGAAGAAGGCCUUCGGGUUGUAAAGUACUUUUGGUAGAGAGGCGGUAUCUGCAGAAGAAGCACCGGCUAACUACGUGCCAGCAGCCGCGGUAAUAC